UACGUAGGCAGCAAGCGUUGUUCGGAAUUACUGGGCGUAAAGGGUUCGUAGGUGGCCAACUAAGUCAGACGUGAAAUCCCUCAGCUUAACUGGGGAACUGCGUCUGAGACUGGAUGGCCUGAGUGCAGGAGAGGAACGCGGAAUUCCAGGUGUAGCGGUGAAAUGCGUAGAUAUCUGGAGGAACACCGGUGGCGAAGGCGGCGUUCUGGACUGCUACUGACACUGAGGAACGAAAGCCAGGGGAGCAAA
rnacentral:rRNA from 1 species